rnacentral:lncRNA from 1 species
CACACCGAUUCAUUCCGUUACGCAAGUAUCCCUGUGCGUUGCUUUGAGACGAUUCGCCUCGACCAAGUUUUUUCUGCUUUUGACUUCGUUUGGAACUUGUUUCACACAAUAAUACAAUUACAGAAAUAGUAACUGCUACUAUUGUGUCUAAAAUGUGAGUUACUUAAUAUUACCUUCUUGUUUAUUUAAUUGUUAAAAGCAGUGUCACGUUUUAUGUGAGAGGUGUGGGAGUCGACGUCUUGGCAGUCAACACACUCGCUUGCCUUCAGGAGAACUUCCUCGCAGGUUCAGGAGGCCUGAAGGAUGACAUACCCCGAGAUGAAGUGUGCAGAAGACGGACCUUCUGUCUGUAUCCCAUUAACAUCGCCUCAUAAAAUGCUCCUACACGACAUGAGCAAACUGACACCCAUGUGUUAGCUGGCUCAGCUUUCUGCAGACAUGCAGAGAAAAUUGUUUGCCUCAAACUAAAAAUAAAUUUGGUGGUAGAGCACACCACAAGGCUGAAGACUGCUGGCUGGGGACGUCCUGGCCGGAGGGAAACGCACCAUUUCCAGCGUGCUGUGAUAGUAGCGAAGUGCAAAUUGAUCUCAAAGAGCAGCUCGAGAUUCCACAGGCUUACAGCCUUAUGCACCCUCUUCGAGCUGAGUCACUUUUUCUCUCAGCCUCUGUGCAGGCUAUUACCUGCCCCUCACCAAAAUGCGGGACAAUACAGACCGUUCAUUGAGUUUCACUGUGUGAUUUCCAUGUGACAUUAUAAUAAGGGAGAGAAUCUGCUGUGAUCAUGAUGAAGCAGGCUCAGGUUUUGCUCUGACUGGCCAAGCUCAAGCUAAGAACGCCUACAGGGUAAUACAAUCAUGUCCAGAAGAACCGGACGACUUACUAGAAAGUUUUGGGACUGAUAUUGAUAUUUGACAACACAACUUUGUCUCAGAGGUCUCCUGACAAACUCUGAAAAAAACAUAACCUCAAGCAGGGGAACUUCAUUCAGUGUUCACAAGGCUGACAUUGACUCGUGGACGUGACAAAAAACAGUCCGUUUCAGAGCAGAAUGAAGUCACGUCUUUGGAAAGAGCUGGUUUGAAAGAGCAAACGUACAUUGCAUCAAUGAAAGGAAAGAGUGUAUUUACUCAACCGCUUAUUAACAUAAAUCACAUAUAGUGUGUUUCGCAUUAAGUUACACAAGAUCUUUUGACAAUUCUUUUGACAAGACCACAAAUCUAAACAGCUAAAUUAGGAACCUGCAUUUGAAAAGGAGGGUCUGAAAAGCAUUUCACAAUAAGGCUCUCUUAUUCUCCGUAUGCGUUCUGUUAUAUUAGAGCGUGCAUGUGCAUUAAGCCCUGCUCGGUCAUGUCUGUCCAUGUAGGGACGCUGAAAAUUGCAAGAGCAAUAAGGAUUUUUAGGGGCA